rnacentral:rRNA from 1 species
CCAAUAGCGUAUAUUAAAGUUGUUGCAGUUAAAAAGCUCGUAGUUGAAUUUCGGGAUCAAURCGUCGGUCGUGCUUUCGGGUACGUACUGGUGUCAUUGGUUUCUCCUUUCUGACGAGCCGUGAUGUCAUUAAUUUGGUGUUACGGGUAGUUAGGACUGUUACUUUGAAAAAAUUAGAGUGUUUAAAGCAGGCAUUAGCUUGAAUACAUUAGCAUGGAAUAAUGAAAUAGGACGUUCGAUCCUAUUUUGUUGGUUUCUAGGAUCAACGUAAUGAUUAAUAGGGAUAGUUGGGGGCAUUAGUAUUCAAUUGUCAGAGGUGAAAUUCUUGGAUUUAUUGAAGACUAACUACUGCGAAAGCAUUUGCCAAGGAUGUUUUCAUUAAUCAAGAACGAAAGUUAGGGGAUCGAAGACGAUCAGAUACCGUCGUAGUCUUAACCAUAAACUAUGCCGACUAGGGAUCGGAUGAUGUUAAUUUUUUAAUGACUCA